UACGGAGGGUGCAAGCGUUAUCCGGAAUCACUGGGUUUAAAGCGCGCGUAGGCGGGGGGUUAAGUGAGAGGUGAAAGGCUGGGGCUCAACCUCAUGCAGUGCCUCUCAUACUGGCCUUCUUGAGGGCGGUAGGGAGAAGUGGAAUGGCUGGUGUAGCGGUGAAAUGCGUAGAUAUCAGUCGGAACACCGGUGGCGAAGGCGGCUUCUUGGGCCGUUCCUGACGCUGAUGCGCGAAAGCUGGGGGAGCGAACGGG
rnacentral:rRNA from 1 species